rnacentral:rRNA from 1 species
UACGUAGGGUGCGAGCGUUAAUCGGAAUUACUGGGCGUAAAGUGUGCGCAGGCGGCCGAGCAAGUCGAGUGUGAAAGCCCCGAGCUUAACUUGGGAACUGCGCUCGAAACUACUUGGCUAGAGUGUGGCAGAGGGAGGUGGAAUUCCACGUGUAGCGGUGAAAAUGCGUAGAGAUGUGGAGGAACACCGAUGGCGAAGGCAGCCUCCUGGGCCAACACUGACGCUCAUGCACGAAAGCGUGGGGAGCAAACAGG